UACGUAGGGGCCUAGCGUUGUCCGGAAUUAUUGGGCGUAAAGAGCUCGUAGGCGGUUCGGCAAGUCGGAUGUGAAAUCUCCACGCUUAACGUGGAGGGGCCAUUCGAAACUGCUGUGACUCGAGUCCGGUAGGGGAGUGUGGAAUUCCUGGUAUAGCGGUGAAAUGCGCAGAUAAUCAGGAGGAACACCGGUGGCGAAGGCGGGUCUCUGGGCCGAUACUGACGCUGAGGAGCGAAAGCGUGGGGAGCGAACAGG
rnacentral:rRNA from 1 species